GUUUUCGGGGUUUGGAUAGAAUGCUAGUCGAGUGACUCAGGCAAAACGAGUCACGGCACACAGCUCAGUAACACGUGGCUAAUCUGCCCUUAGGACGAGAACAACCCCGGGAAACUGGGGCUAACUCUUGAUAGGCGAAGAACUCUGGAAUGAGUCUUUACCUAAAUAGGUUCACGUUAUCCUCGUGAACCUGCCUAAGGAUGAGGCCGCGACCGAUCAGGUUGUUGGCGAGGUAAUGGCUCACCAAGCCUUUUACCGGUGCGGGCCGUGGGAGCGGGAGCCCGGAGAUGGGUACUGAGACAAGGACCCAGGCCCUACGGGGCGCAGCAGUCGCGAAACCUUUGCAAUAAGCGAAAGCUUGACAGGGCUAUCCCGAGUGCCAUCCGCUGAGGAAGGCUUUUACCCAGUCUAGAACGCUGGGGGAAUAAGGAGAGGGCAAGUCUGGUGUCAGCCGCCGCGGUAAUACCAGCUCUCCGAGUGGUGUGGAUGUUUAUUGGGCCUAAAGCAUCCGUAGCUGGCUAGGUAAGUCCCUUGUUAAAUCCACCGAAUUAAUCGUUGGAUCGCGGGGGAUACUGCUUGGCUAGGGGACGAGAGAGGCAGACGGUAUUUUCGGGGUAGGGGUGAAAUCCUAUAAUCCCGGGAAGACCACCAGUGGCGAAGGCUGUCUGCUAGAACGCGCCCGACGGUGAGGGAUGAAAGCUGGGGGAGCGAACCGGAUUAGAUACCCGGGUAGUCCCAGCUGUAAACGAUGCAGACUAGGUGUUUGGACGGCCACGUGCCGUUCUAGUGCCGCAGGGAAGCCGUUAAGCGUGCCGCCUGGGGAGUACGGCCGCAAGGCUGAAACUUAAAGGAAUUGGCGGGGGAGCACCACCAGGCGUGAAGCUUGCGGUUUAAUUGGAGUCAACGCCGGG
rnacentral:rRNA from 1 species